AGAGUUUGAUCAUGGCUCAGAAUGAACGCUGGCGGCGUGCUUAACACAUGCAAGUCGCACGAGAACGCUUCAGCUUGCUGAAGCUAGUACAGUGGCGCACGGGUGAGUAACGCGUGGGUAAUCUACCUCCGAAUUGGGGAUAACAUUGCGAAAGCGAUGCUAAUACCGAAUGAUAUCUUUAAAGCCUCGGUUUUUUAGAUCAAAGGUGGCCUCUACAUGUAAGCUUCUGUUUGGAGAUGAGCCCGCGUACCAUUAGCUUGUUGGUAGGGUAAUGGCCUACCAAGGCAACGAUGGUUAGCUGGUCUGAGAGGAUGAUCAGCCACACUGGAACUGACACACGGUCCAGACUCCUACGGGAGGCAGCAGUGAGGAAUUUUGCGCAAUGGGGGAAACCCUGACGCAGCAACGCCGCGUGAGUGAUGAAGGCUUUCGGGUCGUAAAGCUCUGUCAAGUGGGAAGAACCCACAUGGUGUUAAUAUCACUAUGUGUUGACGGUACCACUAAAGGAAGCACCGGCUAACUCCGUGCCAGCAGCCGCGGUAAUACGGGGGGUGCAAGCGUUAUUCGGAAUUACUGGGCGUAAAGGGCGCGCAGGCGGUCCUUUAAGUCAGAUGUGAAAGCCCGGGGCUCAACCCCGGAAGUGCAUUUGAAACUAAGGGACUUGAGUAUGGGAGAGGGAAGUGGAAUUCCUGGUGUAGCGGUGAAAUGCGUAGAUAUCAGGAGGAACACCGGUGGCGAAGGCGACUUCCUGGACCAAUACUGACGCUGAGGCGCGAAGGCGUGGGGAGCAAACAGGAUUAGAUACCCUGGUAGUCCACGCAGUAAACGGUGAACACUAGGUGUAGCGGGUAUUGACCCCUGCUGUGCCGCAGCUAACGCAUUAAGUGUUCCGCCUGGGGAGUACGGCCGCAAGGCUGAAACUCAAAGGAAUUGACGGG
rnacentral:rRNA from 1 species